UACGUAGGGUGCGAGCGUUAAUCGGAAUUACUGGGCGUAAAGCGUGCGCAGGCGGCUUUGCAAGACAGAUGUGAAAUCCCCGGGCUUAACCUGGGAACUGCAUUUGUGACUGCAUGGCUGGAGUGUGGCAGAGGGGGAUGGAAUUCCGCGUGUAGCAGUGAAAUGCGUAGAUAUGCGGAGGAACACCGAUGGCGAAGGCAAUCCCCUGGGCCUGCACUGACGCUCAUGCACGAAAGCGUGGGGAGCAAACAGG
rnacentral:rRNA from 1 species